rfam:Salmo salar isolate Sally breed double haploid chromosome ssa10, whole genome shotgun sequence.
GCGAAGGCUUCUAGUGUGGUAACGUGACCGAUCUCGGAGAAGCUGGCAGGAGCCCCGGGGAGAGUUCUCUUUUCUUUGUGAAGGGCAAGGUGCCUUGGAAUGUGUUCGCCCCGAGAGAGGGGCCCAAGCCCUGGAAAGUGUUGCGGUUUCGGCGGCGUCUGGUGAGCUCUCCCUGGUCCUUGAAAAUCCGGCGGAGAAGGUGUAAAUCUCACGC